rnacentral:rRNA from 1 species
CCUUACCUAGGCUUGANAUGCAUGGGGACCGGGUAUGAAAGUACCCUUCCCUUCGGGGCCGCUGUACAGGUGCUGCAUGGCUGUCGUCAGCUCGUGCCGUGAGGUGUUGGGUUAAGGCUCGCAACGAGCGCAACCCCUACUAUUAGNUGCCAUCAGGUUAUGCUGGGCACUCUAAUGGGACUGCCUACGCAAGUAGUGAGGAAGGUGGGGAUGACGUCAAGUCAGCAUGGCCCUUACGCCUAGGGCUACACACGUGCUACAAUGGGUACUACAACGGGUUGCUAAGCCGCAAGGGGGAGCCAAUCCCUUAAAGGNAUCCUCAGUUCGGAUUGGAGUCUGCAACUCGACUCCAUGAAGAUGGAAUUGCUAGUAAUCGCGNAUCAGC